GGGAAACAAAAGAACUAGCAGCGAUGAACCAAAAAGUGCAGAGACACCCAAUUGCUGGUAAAGAAGAACCAUUGCAAUGGUAAUGCGAAAAGGAGCUGACCAUAAUGAAUGAAGUGACUGGGUUAUUUGCUGAAGUGUCUCAGCAUCAGUAGUCAUUAAGUUUGUUAUCUUUCCAGUCGCAAACGUCUUGCGAGCCUCGUGGGUUAACCUGAGAGAUUUGCGAAAAACAGCAGCCACCAAGGUUGACCUCAGUCGAUAACCAACACGCAUCACAUUCUGAAAAUACUGUGCUUCACAUAACACUCCCAAGAUCACUCCAGCAAAUAUUGAGAAAGCGUAAAUGUAACCAAUUUGAGAUGGAUCUCCACGCUGCAUGGACUCGAGAAGUUUAUUCAAGAUGACAGGCCCCACAAAUUGAGAAAGAUCAUUGCCAAUCUUCCAAAUGCCACCCAACCAAAACCUUCCUCCAAUGCUGUUGUUCAAUCCUCUAAGAAGCCACGGUUUAGAUUUUUGAGAUUCUUUCGCCCAAACUUUCUGGAAGUUAUCGUAUAAUGUUUCAGUUCGAUCCCACAAAUCCAAUUUCCAGACAUCCUUCUCUGUGAGUGGCCUUUCGUAUCCUAGCUUCAGUAUGGAAUUCAUCCAUGCAAAAGUAGUUUUUGAAAAUAAAUUUGCACGCCUCUCGGGGCAUAUAUGUUCCCCUUCAGGAAGUUCUUCGUAUUCAACAUCAACAGAUUCACUAUUUAGAGGGGUAUGACCAGGAUAAGGAUCCAAGUUAGGCACAUAUGCCACCAAAAGAACACCAAAUAAG
rnacentral:misc_RNA from 1 species